CUCUCUUCUGUUUUUUCUCCUUCUUUAUUAUUUUUGCCUCGCCAUUCUCCCCCUCCAUCUUUGCUUGAGCACUGAUCGUGUGGCUUGUCUGAGGUUUGGCUGGCUGUGUGGGCUGAGACUGCUCAUCAAUGUCCCUCUGCAGAGCCAGUAGCUUCUCCUGCAGCAGAGCCAAGCAACAAAUCUGCCUUAACGUCCACUAUGAGUGCAGAACACGAACGGCAUCAAAAACAACUACCGCGUCAUCGUCGUUUACAGGCUGUGGAAAGCUGAGCCUGGAGCUGCGUUUACUCCAUCAAGUCACAGUGUAACGGACUACAGAGGCGUUCAAGAGACACUGAAAAUGAGAACGUCUGAAAGAUCUCGUUUCUAUGCUUUUAGGUUCGCUGAGAGGGUUUUGAUUUCAUGCGUUCACUGAUUGAAAAAAGAAACACUUGUGUCUCAUCUUAUGGUUUUUUUUUUUUUGCAUUUCUUGCGUUUUGUCUCAUCGCAACCACAAAGCGCAAUGUAUUUUAUUGGCAUUUUAAGAGACACACCAACACAAAAUACGGUGUUAUAUUUAUUUAUUUUUUGUAAAUAAAUAUCUGAAAAGUGUGGCGUGCGCUUGCUAAAUCUGCUCUGCUCGUCUGAUCCAGAUUUCUCGUGUCUCCUGGGCCGAACUGUCCUAGACUAAAUCACGAUUUUCCCAGAGCGCAGUUUGUAAACACCCUGAAAUUAUUAGUGAAGGCGUCAUGUGUAGCAACCUGGGUUUAAAACCACAAAUAGAUCCACUUUAAAAAGGUUGAGUUGACAAAAAGCAAGUUAGUCUUUUUAAAAAAUUCAAACCAAAAAGUGCAGCUUGCUUUUCUCACUCUGAGUCUUUAUAUUCUUGUUUUCUGAGGCUGUUUAUUCAUAAAUAAAUGCAUUCUUCAAUUGUGUUUUUUUUAUGUGUUUACAUAUAAAAAACAGAAUUAGGAAAAAUAGAAUCAACAUCAUUUAAGAGAGUAAAUGCUGCAUAAGCAAAAUUAACGGAUUUCUUGCAGCCCUGCGAAAGGACAACAGUCUGGAAACUCAAUCGAUGUUUUAUUCUUUGUCCACACUGAUCCAGUUAGGAACCCUGCUAAUUAGACUCCUGAAAGCGAAUAAUUGGAUUCUAUACUUCUUAAGGAUUUUACAUUGAAAAUAGUUUAUUUUCACAAUUUUAUGUUUUAAUGCUUUAAUAUAUUUAGAGACAGAAGACCAACUUUGAUCUAGAGAAAGCUGAAUGUGACAUGAGUGGUAAUUAAUCUGAUUAAGAUAUGAAUCAACCUCAGAAGGUGUCUUAAAGUAUAGAGGAAAAAAUAAGAAGUUUUAUUGUAAAAAGCCUCUUAUUGUGUUAAUGUAAAACCCACUUGGAGGAAAUGUGGGAUGGAUGUUAAACCGGCAACUUAUAUGAUGAGUUAGACAUUUUACCAGCCAGGCUAAGAGACAAAGAAUAGAAGAAACACAAAUAUUUGUAAUUACCAACAGUCUGACUGUGACCGUCUAAAUGUCGACUAUGACUAUCAGAUUUUUGACUUACAGAUUAUU